GGUUUGGUAAGUCUGAUGUGAAAAUGCGGGGCUCAACUCCGUAUUGCGUUGGAAACUGCCAAACUAGAGUACUGGAGAGGUGGGCGGAACUACAAGUGUAGAGGUGAAAUUCGUAGAUAUUUGUAGGAAUGCCGAUGGGGAAGCCAGCCCACUGGACAGAUACUGACGCUAAAGCGCGAAAGCGUGGGUAGCAAACAGGAUUAGAUACC
rnacentral:rRNA from 1 species